GCGAAAGUGGCGGAAUUGGUAGACUCGCUGGAUUUAGGUUCCAGUACCGCAAGGUGUGAGAGUUCGAGUCUCUCCUUUCGCACCA
rnacentral:tRNA from 2 species